CCCUUAUAUGUUCUGGGCCGCACGCGUGCUACACUGAUGCAUUCAACGAGUCUAAAACCUGGUCUGAUAGGGCUGGGUAAUCUUUUGAAAGUGCAUCGUGAUUGGGAUAGAUGAUUGCAAUUCUUCAUCUUCAACGAGGAAUGCCUAGUAAACGCAAGUCAUCAGCUUGCAUUGAUUACGUCCCUGCCCUUUGUACACACCGCCCGUCGCUCCUACCGAUUGAAUGAUCCGAUGAAUACCAUGGAUUGAGAGUACGAAUAGGUUCGCUUAUUUCUGCUGCUCGAGAAGUGGAGUAAAUCUUAUCAUUUAGAGGAAGGAGAAGUCGUAACA
rnacentral:rRNA from 1 species